rnacentral:rRNA from 1 species
GACGAACGCUGGCGGCGCGCUUAACACAUGCAAGUCGAGCGAAGCGGCGGACGGGUGAGUAACACGUGAGUAACCUGCCUUAGACAUUGGGAUAGCCUCGGGAAACCGGGAUUAAUACCAAAUGGUCUAAGAUGGACUCGCGUCCCAUUAGCUGGUUGGGAGGUAACGGCCCCCCAAGGCGACGAUGGGUAGCCGGCCUGAGAGGGAGGACGGCCACAUUGGAGCUGGGAAACGGUCGAAACUCGACGGGAGGCAGCAGUGGGGGAUAUAGCACAAUGGAGGGAACUCUGAUGCAGCGACGCCGCGUGAACGAUGAAGGCUUUCGAGUCGUAAAGUUCUUUUAUAUGGGAAGCGGUACCAUAAGAAAAAGCCCCGGCUAACUACGUGCCAGCAGCCGCGGUAAUAC